CGGAACCUAUCUCCAGACUAUGCUCCCUACCAAAGGGCUCCAGUCACCUGGAAACAGCCCAUUGUGUCUCUUGCUCCCAGGAGAGGGCUCUUGAGGACAAGACAAGGCGAACUUAUAUCAUGGGAUUAUUACACACGAGUUCAGACUUGAAGAUGAGGGACCACACCUCACUAUGGCUUGCGACUUUGUAGUAUUGGCCAGCCAACACACCAAACAUAAAGAUAUCCAAGUGCUGUGUUACCAGUUUGAAAGACCCUAUUUGGAAGUUCCACAGGCAUAUGAACAUCCCCAGUUUUGCAGCCACUGACUCAUUUCUUGGUUCAUUUCGACAAAUAUGAAUUGACCCCCUUCUGGGGCCCAGACAGAGCAGCUGGUGGAAACUACUUCAUCACCUACCUUAUGGUAGAGGCACUCUGGAUACCAAAACACUAAUUUUAAAUAAAGGAGGCUUGCUACCACUGAGGAUACUCACGGUCUGAAGCCCCUUCACAAAGCAUCUGGAGCCGUCAUGAGACCAUGUAUGUGAAAUCUCUGAGAGUGACCACUUCAGACAAGAGGACAUCCAUGAAAAUGUGUGUCCCUACACGUUCACUUAGAAAAAAUCAAUAGUGUCCUCUGUACAGCCACACCUGACAUUUCAGGAAAAGAACUCGUCGUCAUGACAACCUUCCUAGAAACAGCAGGAGACCCAUCCCUUUAGGAACAGGAUUCUAGAAACUGUCUCCCCCCGACCCUAAACCCCACUCUGCUCCGUCCUUCCUAUAUGGUCCCAGAUAGCCAUUCGACAACAUGUCCUAGUCUGUCCUGAAAAAAAAGAAAGAAAACGCACUGCUGAUCUCACUGCUGACCAUUGGCAUUUUUGAGAGCAUGUCUUCCUCCAAAGAAGGAAGGCAGCCUCCGGUUUAACAUGAGGUAGAGUAGCAAUGCCUCCUUGUCUUGUAAUCCCCUUGAUGAGGCAGGGAGCCUGGUGUGCAGUCAGCCCGCAAGAAGGGCCCAGAUGAAACCAGCAAACGGGACCCAACCUUCAAGAGAAAAUCAGAUUACUUGUUUUGGAGCUUCUUACACUCAGUUUUUUAAUAUCAGUUUUUAAAAAAACAUAAAAACAAAUAUUUUUAAACCCUCAUCUACACUUUUCUGUGGUUUUUUUAAAUGGUUUAUUGUCACAUUGGUUUCCAUACAACACCCAGUGCUCUUCCC
rnacentral:lncRNA from 1 species